GAUGAACGCUGACAGAAUGCUUAACACAUGCAAGUCGAUUCGAUUUACCUUCGGGUAUUGAGGAUGGCGGACGGGUGAGUAACGCGUAAGGAACUUGCCUCUUGGUCUGGGACAACUGUUGGAAACGACAGCUAAUACCGGAUAUUAUGAGAUUCUCGCAUGGGAAACUUAUGAAAGCUAUAUGCGCCAAGAGAGAGCCUUGCGUUCCAUUAGCUAGUUGGUGGGGUAACGGCCCACCAAGGCGACGAUGGAUAGCCGGCCUGAGAGGGUGAACGGCCACAAGGGGACUGAGACACGGCCCUUACUCCUACGGGAGGCAGCAGUGGGGAAUAUUGGACAAUGGACCAAAAGUCUGAUCCAGCAAUUCUGUGUGCACGAUGAAGGUCUUCGGAUUGUAAAGUGCUUUCAGUUGGGAAGAAGCAAGUGACGGUACCAACAGAAGAAGCGACGGCUAAAUACGUGCCAGCAGCCGCGGUAAUACGUAUGUCGCAAGCGUUAUCCGGAUUUAUUGGGCGUAAAGCGCGUCUAGGCGGAAAAAUAAGUCUGAUGUUAAAAUGCGGGGCUCAACUCCGUAUUGCGUUGGAAACUGUUUUUCUAGAGUACUGGAGAGGUGGGCGGAACUACAAGUGUAGAGGUGAAAUUCGUAGAUAUUUGUAGGAAUGCCGAUGGAGAAGUCAGCUCACUGGACAGAUACUGACGCUAAAGCGCGAAAGCNUGGGGAGCAAACAGGAUUAGAUACCCUGGUAGUCNACGCCGUAAACGAUGAUCACUAGG
rnacentral:rRNA from 1 species